rnacentral:rRNA from 1 species
CUGGGCUCGAAAUGCUAUGGACCAGCUGGUGAAAGCCGGCCUUCCCGCAAGGGACCGUAGUAUAGGUGCUGCAUGGCUGUCGUCAGCUCGUGUCGUGAGAUGUUGGGUUAAGUCCCGCAACGAGCGCAACCCUUGUCCUGUGUUGCCAUCAUUCAGUUGGGAACUCGCAGGAGACCGCCAGGGAUAACCUGGAGGAAGGUGGGGAUGACGUCAAGUCCUCAUGGCCUUUAUGUCCAGGGCUACACACGUGCUACAAUGGACGGUACAAAGGGCUGCCAACCCGCAAGGGGGAGCCAAUCCCAAAAAACCGUUCUCAGUUCGGAUUGCAGGCUGCAACUCGCCUGCAUGAAGCUGGAAUCGCUAGUAAUGGUGGAUCAGCAUGCCACCGUGAAUACGUUCCC